UACGACGGUGUCUGCUGGUGUCUGA
rnacentral:piRNA from 1 species